GCAAACUUGGUCAUUUAGAGGAAGUAAAAGUCGUAACAAGGUUUCCGUAGGUGAACCUGCGGAAGGAUCAUUAAAGAUUCUGACCUUCGGGUCUAACUUUUCAGCUGUGCGCUUCGGCUGCACGCUGAUAAACCUUACACACCUGUGCACAUUUCGGUCGCAAUCCUGCGUGCAGGUUUGCUUCCGCUUUCACAUAUAACCACAUGUCUUGAAUGUAAAAACUAUAAAAGUAACAACUUUCAACAACGGAUCUCUUGGCUCUCGCAUCGAUGAAGAACGCAGC
rnacentral:misc_RNA from 1 species